GCCGGGUGUGGUGGCACGCACCUGUAGUCCCAGCUACCUGGGAGGCUGAGGCAGGAGAAUUGCUUGAACCUGGGAAGCGGAGGUUGCAGUGAGCCAAGACGGGGUCAUUGCACUCCAGCCUGGGUGACAGAGCAAGACCCUGUCUCAA
rnacentral:SRP_RNA from 1 species